AAGUCGUAACAAGGUUUCCGUAGGUGAACCUGCGGAAGGAUCAUUAACAUUAUUCUUUUACUUUUUGUGGGAUGUUGGGUUAUGUGGAGUCUUUUUGAUUCAACUAAUCCUCUUCUCACUUCAAACCCCAAACUAUGUGCACUGUGUUGUGCUUUUGUUGUAACGAAAGCACUUCUUUUUACUUACUAUUUAAACCCCUUUUAUUACUACUUCUAGACUGACUUUAAACAACUUGAUUCGUACACUUCAUACUGUACGAUGACCAAUCAUAAUACAACUCUUAGCAACGGAUAUCUAGGCUCUC
rnacentral:misc_RNA from 1 species